CCUACGAGGGGCUGCAGUGGGGAAUAUUUCGCAAUGGGCGAAAGCCUGCCGCAGCGACGCCGCGUGAGGGAUGAAGGUCUUCGGAUCGUAAACCUCUGUCAGCAGGGAAGAACGGUCACUGUGCUAAUCAGCAGUGAAUUGACGGUACCUGCAAAGGAAGCACCGGCUAACUCCGUGCCAGCAGCCGCGGUAAUAAGGAGGGGGCGAGCGUUAAUCGGAAUUACUGGGCGUAAAGCGCUCGUAGGCGGUAUGUCAAGUCAAGGGUGAAAUCCCCGCGCUCAACGUGGGAACUGCCUUUGAAACUGGCAAACUGGAGUGUGUGAGAGGAUAGUGGAAGUCCAGGUGUAGGAGUGAAAUCCGGAGAUAUCUGGAGGAACAUCAGUGGCGAAGGCGACGAUCUGGCACAUAACUGACGCUGAGGAGCGAAAGCGUGGGUAGCAAACAGGAUUAGAUACCCCUGUAGU
rnacentral:rRNA from 1 species